UUUCUUGGAAAGCAGAGAGGGACAACCUCAAGAAAUGUCCUGAAAUAAUCCAGAAUGAAUGCCUGUAGAAUGCAAAUUACACUUUUUCUGUCAGAGAUGAACCUUUCAGACCACGUUCUGAGGCAGACACCCUAGCACUGUUUCUACCCGUCUUCCCUUGAGACAGAGGAAAAGAAGGGAACUGAGGGAUACUAAAUGCCUUUAUUCAGCUCUUCUGAAGCACGCUACCCUCACGCACAGAACAGCUGGAAGUCAGGGGAGCCAAGGGAAGCGAUCACACUUCCUUUCCCAGAAGCAAAGCUACUGCAGUCCCUUGGUGAGGACAAGAAACAAAUCUCUGCAGAAGUCUUGUUAUAAAGCAGGGAUAUAAUUAAAUGCAACCAGCAACAUCAUGAAAACGGUAGAAGAAAUUCAAACAAUAACUAUGUUAACUGGAAAUGGCUUAUUGUUCAGUGAAAAACAGCUGAUCUCCAUCAGAAACAGACACUUUAAUUGCCAGUGCUUACUGUGGCCAAGAAAGAAAAGGAAAUUCCAUAAGAAAAGGGUUUUCCCUUUACUAAAUGCAGUUUCUUUCCUAGAAAUGCAGGGAAAAUGGCUCUCUGCCACAUCUUGCCUGAAGACCAUACAUAUAUCACUGGAGAUCAGAGGAAGAGAUGACACACGCUGGCAUCAGGCAGGAUUUAUGGAAAGCUGCUCCUGUGACAGUCGUCUCCUACAUGACCUCUUGCAGUUCCUUCUAAGACUUCUUUCUUUUACUCCUUGUAAAUAUUCCUGGUGCAGAGGCAUUGAAAUAUUACAAAAAAAUAUUUGUAUACUCAUAAGGCAGAUGGAUGUGCUAAUUUCUCCAUGA
rnacentral:lncRNA from 1 species